rnacentral:lncRNA from 1 species
UCACUUUUAGAAGUUGUGACACAACAUUACUGGUGACUAUUUGAUUCUGAUUAGGAUUCCAGUUCCGAGAUAUUUCACCUCUGCGGGACAAACCUCUUUGGAAUGACCCACGCAACAAAUCAGUUGCUUGGACUAAGUCUCUCCGGAGAUAUAGGGUAACCAUGAAUCACAGGCCUGUUGAAUCUGUGCUGAGCAGAAAAGCACCUUUUGCAGCUCGAACCUUAAGUGCUGGCUUGAGUGGUCAUAGGUAUAGAAAUGGUUGUGUUGAUGUGUUGCCACAAUAUAGUUCAAUGAAUGAUCCCCACUUGUUUGACUACUAUGCCAGGAAGUUUGGACUGCGGGGGACUACCAGGUGUCUUCCAGUUUCUGAUCAAAUGAAGAGACAUCACCAAAGUGCACCCCACUACAGGUACAAAAGUGCUAGUACCGGAUCCAGUUCUGCAGUGCACAGCAACGUGUUAUACAAAGUCACUGUGAAGACUGGAGAUAAGAGAGGGGCAGGAACUGAUGCCAGGCAUGAUGGUCUAGAGAAGCAGCAAGCCUGGUAUGUGGAGGAGAUAACUGUGACCAAUACAAGCCGUGAGAAGACUUGGCACUUCCUAUGUCGACAAUGGCUAUCAUUGUAUCAUACUGACUGCCAGCUCAGCAGCACCUUUAUGCCUACUGGCAAAGGCAGACUCGCUGUUGUGGAUGGAAAACCGGACCACACAGGUAAGCAGAGUGCCGCACUUUCUGCAAAGCUGCAAGGAGGGUUUCUUUCAUGGU